CGGAGAGUGCAAACGUUGUUCGGAUUCACUGGGCGUAAAGGGCACGUAGGCGGCUCGGCAAAUCGGUUGUGGAAUCUCGACGCUUACCGUCGAAACGGCAGCCGAAAAUACCGGGCUAGAGGGCGUGAGGGGUCACUGGAACUCCUGGUGAAGCGGUGAAAUGCGUAGAUAUCAGGAGGAACGCCGGAGGCGAAUGCGAGUGACUGGCGCGUUCCUGACGCUGAGGUGCGAAAGCUAGGGGAGCAAACAGGAUUAGAUACCCUGGUAGUCCUAGCCGUAAACGAUGGACACUGAGUGAAGGAGGGCUUGCCCUUCUUUGCUGCAGCUAACGCGUUAAGUGUCCCGCCUGGGGAGUACGGCCGCAAGGUUA
rnacentral:rRNA from 1 species